rnacentral:rRNA from 1 species
GUGCAGCAGGCGAGAAACCUCCGCAAUGCGGGAAACCGCGACGGGGGACCCCGAGUGCCGUGGCAACGCCACGGCUUUUCCGGAGUGUAAAAAGCUCCGGGAAUAAGGGCUGGGCAAGGCCGGUGGCAGCCGCCGCGGUAAUACCGGCGGCCCGAGCGGUGGCCGCUAUUAUUGGGCCUAAAGCGUCCGUAGCCGGGCCCGUAAGUCCCUGGCGAAAUCCCACGGCUCAACCGUGGGGCUUGCUGGGGAUACUGCGGGUCUUGGGACCGGGAGAGGCGGGGGUACCCCUGGGGUAGGGGUGAAGUCCUAUAAUCCCAGGGGGACCGCCAGUGGCGAAGGCGCCCCGCUGGAACGGGUCCGACGGUGAGGGACGAAGGCCAGGGGAGCAAACCGGAUUAGAUACCCGCGUAGU